UGGGGAAUAUUGCACAAUGGGCGCAAGCCUGAUGAGCCAAUGCCGCGUGUGUGAAGAAGGCCUCGGGUUGUAAAGCACUUUCAGCGAGGAGGAAGUGGUGAGCUUAAUACGCUCAUCAAUUGACGUUACUCGCAGAAGAAGCACCGGCUAACUCCGUGCCAGAGCCGCGGUAAUACGGAGGGUGCAAGCGUAAUCGGAUUACUGGGCGUAAAGCGCACGCAGGCGGUUUGUUAAGUCAGAUGUGAAAUCCCCGGGCUCAACCUGGGAACUGCAUUUGAAACUGGCAAGCUAGAGUCUCGUAGAGGGGGUAGAAUUCCAGGUGUAGCGGUGAAAUGCGUAGAGAUCUGGAGGAAUACCGGUGGCGAAGGCGGCCCCCUGGACGAAGACUGACGCUCAGGUGCGAAAGCGU
rnacentral:rRNA from 1 species